GUCAAGAAUCUUCCUCAAUGGCCGAAAGGCUGAAGGAGCAAUGCCGCGUGAUCGAAGAAGCCCUUCGGGGUGUAAAGAUCUUUUUUCAGGGACGAAUUCGUGACGGUACCUGAAGAAUAAGCCACUGCUAACUUCGUGCCAGCAGCAGCGGUAAUACGAAGGUGGCAAGCGUUAUCCGGAAUAAUUGGGCGUAAAGCGUCCGCAGACGGUUCGAUACGUCGUGGGUUAAAUCCAAGGGCUCAACCCUUGGGCUGCUCACGAAACGAUCAUUCUCGAGGCCGGAAGAGGCGAGCGGAAUUACCGGUGUAGCGGUAAAAUGCGUUAAUAUCGGUAAGAACACCAAAUGCGAAAGCAGCUCGCUAGUACGGUUCUGACGUUCAGGGACGAAAGCGUGGGGAGCGAAUGGGAUUAGAUACCCCGGUAGUCC
rnacentral:rRNA from 1 species